GAAGUAUAUACAUAUAUUCUUGAUCAGCAUCAAUAGCCGAGUCGAUAUUGCCAUGACUGUCUGUCCGCCUGUCCGCCCAUUCGUCUUGUUGAGCGCCUGGAUCUCAGAGACCAUAAAACCUAGAGACACCGAUUUUUGCCUCCAGACUGCGGAAUAUCACUCUGAAACAAGUGUAUUUCAAAAAUUAAACAAUUUUGAAGAUUAGAGGAAUCUAAAAAAAGCGAUUACCUAGGGAAUGA
rnacentral:lncRNA from 1 species